rfam:Streptomyces sp. NBRC 110611 DNA, contig: scaffold00046.
GAGAGCCGGAUGCCUGGAGAGCGGGCACGUCCGGUUCGGGAGGCGGCUCGGGGAAACCCACUGGUGGAAACACCAGCAGGGCGCCCCGAGCCGACCUCAC